UUUGUUGGAUCUAGGCUGCUUCAUGGGCUGGAGUGCUGCAUGGCUGUAGAGCCCCUUCACCAGUGGGUUUCCAUGGAAACAAAUAGGAAACACUACCUUCAGAGUGACCUGUGUUUUUCAACUUCUAAUUAACACAUUAAUACUUGUUGAAGGGGCAACACUGUUCCCAGCCUUCAUAAGAGUCUGCAAUUAUAACAUUCAUAAAAACAGCCAGUCAUAAACAUGUCACAUAAAGUAUUUCACAGUGUUUAUGUGAAAGGAAAUUGAAGUCUCUUGAAAAUGGAACUGAAUCUUGUCCAAACAACCUUAGAUACACUAACCCAACUUUAUUGUUGCUAUAUAUUACAGGAUUCUUUAUCCAUGCAUACUAUCAUUAACCAUACAGUAUGUUUUCAUAAUUAUUUCCCUUCCU